rnacentral:sRNA from 1 species
UCAGCGUCUAGCGAAUGUGUGUGACUACUUAGAUA